rnacentral:rRNA from 1 species
CCCUUAGACGUUCUGGGCCGCACGCGCGCUACACUGAACAGUUCAACAAGUCUUAACCUUGGCCGAUAGGUCUGGGUAAUCUUUGAACGCUGUUCGUGAUUGGGAUAGACCUUUGCAAUUAUGGGUCUUCAACGAGGAAUUCCUAGUAAACGCAAGUCAUCAGCUUGCAUUGAUUACGUCCCUGCCCUUUGUACACACCGCCCGUCGCACCUACCGAUUGAAUGGUCCGGUGAAAUCUCGGGACGGCGGCUUGGUCGCUUGCGUCCGACUGCUGAAACUUGAUUAAACCAUAUCAUUUAGAGGAAGGAGAAGUCGUAACA